UUAGGGUUAGGGUUAGGGUUGGAGUUAGGGUUAGUGUUGGAGCUAGGGUUAGGGUUGGGCUUGGAGCUAGGAUUUUUCUGAGUGCAAUGAACCAACUCCCGAGUCUCUAGGACCUUCCUAAAAAAAUUUGAUUUUUUCCCAUAGGAAUGCAUGGGUUAGGGUUAGGGUUAGGGUUGGAGCUAGGGUUAGGGUUAGGGUUAGGGUUGGAGUUAGGGUUAGUGUUGGAGUUAGGGUUAGGGUUGGGCUUGGAGCUAGGAUUUUUCUGAGUGCAAUGAACCAACUCCCGAGUCUCUAGGACGUUCCUAAAAAAAUUUUAUUUUUUCCCAUAGGAAUGCAUGGGUUAGGGUUAGGGUUAGGGUUGGAGCUAGGGUUAGGGUUAGGGUUAGGGUUGGAGUUAGGGUUAGUGUUGGAGCUAGGGUUAGGGUUGGGCUUGGAGCUAGGAUUUUUCUGAGUGCAAUGAACCAACUCCCGAGUCUCUAGGACGUUCCUAAAAAAAUUGAUUUUUUCCCAUAGGAAUGCAUGGGUUAGGGUUAGGGUUAGGGUUGGAGCUAGGGUUAGGGUUAGGGUUAGGGUUGGAGUUAGGGUUAGUGUUGGAGCUAGGGUUAGGGUUGGGCUUGGAGCUAGGAUUUUUCUGAGUGCAAUGAACCAACUCCCGAGUCUCUAGGACGUUCCUAAAAAAAAUUGAUUUUUUACCAUAGGAAUGCAUGGGUUAGGGUUAGGGUUAGGGUUGGAGCUAGGGUUAGGGUUAGGGUUAGGGUUGGAGUUAGGGUUAGUGUUGGAGCUAGGGUUAGGGUUGGGCUUGGAGCUAGGAUUUUUCUGAGUGCAAUGAACCAACUCCCGAGUCUCUAGGACGUUCCUAAAAAAAAUUGAUUUUUUUCCCAUAGGAAUGCAUGGGUUAGGGUUAGGGUUAGGGUUGGAGCUAGGGUUAGGGUUAGGGUUAGGGUUGGAGUUAGGGUUAGUGUUGGAGCUAGGGUUAGGGUUGGGCUUGGAGCUAGGAUUUUUCUGAGUGCAAUGAACCAACUCCCGAGUCUCUAGGACCUUCCUAAAAAAAUUUGAUUUUUUCCCAUAGGAAUGCAUGGGUUAGGGUUAGGGUUAGGGUUGGAGCUAGGGUUAGGGUUAGGGUUAGGGUUGGAGUUAGGGUUAGUGUUGGAGCUAGGGUUAGGGUUGGGCUUGGAGCUAGGAUUUUUCUGAGUGCAAUGAACCAACUCCCGAGUCUCUAGGACGUUCCUAAAAAAAUUUGAUUUUUUCCCAUAGGAAUGCAUGGGUUAGGGUUAGGGUUAGGGUUGGAGCUAGGGUUAGGGUUAGGGUUAGGGUUGGAGUUAGGGUUAGUGUUGGAGCUAGGGUUAGGGUUGGGCUUGGAGCUAGGAUUUUUCUGAGUGCAAUGAACCAACUCCCGAGUCUCUAGGACGUUCCUAAAAAAAUUAGAUUUUUUCCCAUAGGAAUGCAUGGGUUAGGGUUAGGGUUAGGGUUGGAGCUAGGGUUAGGGUUAGGGUUGGAGUUAGGGUUAGUGUUGGAGCUAGGGUUAGGGUUGGGCUUGGAGCUAGGAUUUUUCUGAGUGCAAUGAACCAACUCCCGAGUCUCUAGGACGUUCCUAAAAAAAUUUGAUUUUUUCCCAUAGGAAUGCAUGGGUAAGGGUUAGGGUUAGGGUUGGAGCUAGGGUUAGGGUUAGGGUUAGGGUUGGAGUUAGGGUUAGUGUUGGAGCUAGGGUUAGGGUUGGGCUUGGAGCUAGGAUUUUUCUGAGUGCAAUGAACCAACUCCCGAGUCUCUAGGACGUUCCUAAAAAAAUUUGAUUUUUUCCCAUAGGAAUGCAUGGGUAAGGGUUAGGGUUAGGGUUGGAGCUAGGGUUAGGGUUAGGGUUAGGGUUGGAGUUAGGGUUAGUGUUGGAGCUAGGGUUAGGGUUGGGCUUGGAGCUAGGAUUUUUCUGAGUGCAAUGAACCAACUUCCGAGUCUCUAGGAAGUUUCCUAAAAAAAAUUGAUUUUUUCCCAUAGGAAUGCAUGGGUUAGGGUUAGGGUUAGGGUUGGAGCUAGGGUUAGGGUUAGGGUUAGGGUUGGAGUUAGGGUUAGUGUUGGAGCUAGGGUUAGGGUUGGGCUUGGAGCUAGGAUUUUUCUGAGUGCAAUGAACCAACUCCCGAGUCUCUAGGACGUUCCUAAAAAAAUUUGAUUUUUUUCCCAUAGGAAUGCAUGGGUUAGGGUUAGGGUUAGGGUUGGAGCUAGGGUUAGGGUUAGGGUUAGGGUUGGAGUUAGGGUUAGUGUUGGAGCUAGGGUUAGGGUUGGGCUUGCAGCUAGGAUUUUUCUGAGUGCAAUGAACCAACUCCCGAGUCUCUAGGACGUUCCUAAAAAAAUUGAUUUUUUCCCAUAGGAAUGCAUGGGUUAGUGUUAGGGUUAGGGUUGGAGCUAGGGUUAGGGUUAGGGUUAGGGUUGGAGUUAGGGUUAGUGUUGGAGCUAGGGUUAGGGUUGGGCUUGGAGCUAGGAUUUUUCUGAGUGCAAUGAACCAACUCCCGAGUCUCUAGGACCUUCCUAAAAAAAUUUGAUUUUUUCCCAUAGGAAUGCAUGGGUUAGGGUUAGGGUUAGGGUUGGAGCUAGGGUUAGGGUUAGGGUUAGGGUUAGGGUUGGAGUUAGGGUUAGUGUUGGAGCUAGGGUUAGGGUUGGGCUUGGAGCUAGGAUUUUUCUGAGUGCAAUGAACCAACUCCCGAGUCUCUAGGAUGUUCCUAAAAAAAAUUGAUUUUUUCCCAUAGGAAUGCAUGGGUUAGGGUUAGGGUUAGGGUUGGAGCUAGGGUUAGGGUUAGGGUUAGGGUUGGAGUUAGGGUUAGUGUUGGAGCUAGGGUUAGGGUUGGGCUUGGAGCUAGGAUUUUUCUGAGUGCAAUGAACCAACUCCCGAGUCUCUAGGACCUUCCUAAAAAAAUUUGAUUUUUUCCCAUAGGAAUGCAUGGGUUAGGGUUAGGGUUAGGGUUGGAGCUAGGGUUAGGGUUAGGGUUAGGGUUGGAGUUAGGGUUAGUGUUGGAGCUAGGGUUAGGGUUGGGCUUGGAGCUAGGAUUUUUCUGAGUGCAAUGAACCAACUCCCGAGUCUCUAGGACGUUCCUAAAAAAAUUUGAUUUUUUCCCAUAGGAAUGCAUGGGUUAGGGUUAGGGUUAGGGUUGGAGCUAGGGUUAGGGUUAGGGUUAGGGUUGGAGUUAGGGUUAGUGUUGGAGCUAGGGUUAGGGUUGGGCUUGCAGCUAGGAUUUUUCUGAGUGCAAUGAACCAACUCCAGAGUCUCUAGGACGUUCCUAAAAAAAAUUGAUUUUUUCCCAUAGGAAUGCAUGGGUUAGGGUUAGGGUUAGGGUUGGAGCUAGGGUUAGGGUUAGGGUUAGGGUUGGAGUUAGGGUUAGUGUUGGAGCUAGGGUUAGGGUUGGGCUUGGAGCUAGGAUUUUUCUGAGUGCAAUGAACCAACUCCCGAGUCUCUAGGACCUUCCUAAAAAAAUUUGAUUUUUUCCCAUAGGAAUGCAUGGGUUAGGGUUAGGGUUAGGGUUGGAGCUAGGGUUAGGGUUAGGGUUAGGGUUGGAGUUAGCGUUAGUGUUGGAGCUAGGGUUAGGGUUGGGCUUGGAGCUAGGAUUUUUCUGAGUGCAAUGAACCAACUCCCGAGUCUCUAGGACGUUCCUAAAAAAAAUUGAUUUUUUCCCAUAGGAAUGCAUGGGUAAGGGUUAGGGUUAGGGUUGGAGCUAGGGUUAGGGUUAGGGUUAGGGUUGGAGUUAGGGUUAGUGUUGGAGCUAGGGCUAGGGUUGGGCUUGGAGCUAGGAUUUUUCUGAUUGCAAUGAACCAACUCCCGAGUCUCUAGGACGUUCCUAAAAAAAAUUGAUUUUUUCCCAUAGGAAUGCAUGGGUAAGGGUUAGGGUUAGGGUUGGAGCUAGGGUUAGGGUUAGGGUUAGGGUUGGAGUUAGGGUUAGUGUUGGAGCUAGGGCUAGGGUUGGGCUUGGAGCUAGGAUUUUUCUGAUUGCAAUGAACCAACUCCCGAGUCUCUAGGACGUUCCUAAAAAAAUUUGAUUUUUUCCCAUAGGAAUGCAUGGGUUAGGGUUAGGGUUAGGGUUAGGGUUGGAGCUAGGGUUAGGGUUAGGGUUAGGGUUGGAGUUAGGGUUAGUGUUGGAGCUAGGGUUAGGGUUGGGCUUGGAGCUAGGAUUUUUCUUAGUGCAAUGAACCAACUCCCGAGUCUCUAGGACGUUCCUAAAAAAAAUUGAUUUUUCUCCCAUAGGAAUGCAUGGGUUAGGGUUAGGGUUAGUGUUGGAGCUAGGGUUAGGGUUGGGCUUGGAGCUAGGAUUUUUCUGAGUGCAAUGAACCAACUCCCGAGUCUCUAGGUCUUUCCUAAAAAAAUUUGAUUUUUUCCCAUAGGAAUGCAUGGGUUAGGGUUAGGGUUGGAGCUAGGGUUAGGGUUAGGGUUAGGGUUGGAGUUAGGGUUAGUGUUGGAGCUAGGGUUAGGGUUGGGCUUGCAGCUAGGAUUUUUCUGAGUGCAAUGAACCAACUCCCGAGUCUCUAGGACGUUCCUAAAAAAAAUUGAUUUUUUUCCCAUAGGAAUGCAUGGGUUAGGGUUAGGGUUAGGGUUGGAGCUAGGGUUAGGGUUAGGGUUAGGGUUGGAGUUAGGGUUAGUGUUGGAGCUAGGGUUAGGGUUGGGCUUGGAGCUAGGAUUUUUCUGAGUGCAAUGAACCAACUCCUGAGUCUAGAGAACGUUCCUAAAAUAAAUUUGUUUUUUUCCAUGGGAAUGCAUGGGUUAGGGUUAGGGUUAGGGUUGGAGCUAGGGUUAGGGUUAGGGUUAGGGUUGGAGUUAGGGUUAGUGUUGGAGCUAGGGUUAGGGUUGGGCUUGGAGCUAGGAUUUUUCUGAGUGAAAUGAACCAACUCCCGAGUCUCUAGCACGUUCCUAAAAAAAUUUGAUUUUUUCCCAUAGGAAUGCAUGGGUUAGGGUUAGGGUUAGGGUUGGAGCUAGGGUUAGGGUUAGGGUUAGGGUUGGAGUUAGGGUUAGUGUUGGAGCUAGGGUUAGGGUUGGGCUUGGAGCUAGGAUUUUUCUGAGUGAAAUGAACCAACUCCCGAGUCUCUAGCACGUUCCUAAAAAAAUUUGAUUUUUUCCCAUAGGAAUGCAUGGGUUAGGGUUAGGGUUAGGGUUGGAGCUAGGGUUAGGGUUAGGGUUAGGGUUAGGGUUGGAGUUAGGGUUAGUGUUGGAGCUAGGGUUAGGGUUGGGCUUGGAGCUAGGAUUUUUCUGAGUGCAAUGAACCAACUCCCGAGUCUCUAUGACGUUCCUAAAAAAAUUUGAUUUUUUUCCAUAGGAAUGCAUGGGUUAGGGUUAGGGUUAGGGUUGGAGCUAGGGUUAGGGUUAGGGUUAGGGUUGGAGUUAGGGUUAGUGUUGGAGCUAGGGUUAGGGUUGGGCUUGCAGCUAGGAUUUUUCUGAGUGCAAUGAACCAACUCCAGAGUCUCUAGGACCUUCCUAAAAAAAAUUGAUUUUUUCCCAUAGGAAUGCAUGGGUUAGGGUUAGGGUUAGGGUUGGAGCUAGGGUUAGGGUUAGGGUUAGGGUUGGAGUUAGGGUUAGUGUUGGAGCUAGGGUUAGGGUUGGGCUUGCAGCUAGGAUUUUUCUGAGUGCAAUGAACCAACUCCCGAGUCUCUAGGACCUUCCUAAAAAAAUUUGAUUUUUUCCCAUAGGAAUGCAUGGGUUAGGGUUAGGGUUAGGGUUGGAGCUAGGGUUAGGGUUAGGGUUAGGGUUGGAGUUAGGGUUAGUGUUGGAGCUAGGGUUAGGGUUGGGCUUGCAGCUAGGAUUUUUCUGAGUGCAAUGAACCAACUCCAGAGUCUCUAGGACGUUCCUAAAAAAAAUUGAUUUUUUCCCAUAGGAAUGCAUGGGUUAGGGUUAGGGUUAGGGUUGGAGCUAGGGUUAGGGUUAGGGUUAGGGUUGGAGUUAGGGUUAGUGUUGGAGCUAGGGUUAGGGUUGGGCUUGGAGCUAGGAUUUUUCUGAGUGCAAUGAACCAACUCCCGAGUCUCUAGGACGUUCCUAAAAAAAUUGAUUUUUUCCCAUAGGAAUGCAUGGGUUAGGGUUAGGGUUAGGGUUGGAGCUAGGGUUAGGGUUAGGGUUAGGGUUGGAGUUAGGGUUAGUGUUGGAGCUAGGGUUAGGGUUGGGCUUGGAGCUAGGAUUUUUCUGAGUGCAAUGAACCAACUCCCGAGUCUCUAGGACGUUCCUAAAAAAAUUUGAUUUUUUCCCAUAGGAAUGCAUGGGUUAGGGUUAGGGUUAGGGUUAGGGUUGGAGCUAGGGUUAGGGUUAGGGUUAGGGUUGGAGUUAGGGUUAGUGUUGGAGCUAGGGUUAGGGUUGGGCUUGGAGCUAGGAUUUUUCUGAGUGCAAUGAACCAACUCCCGAGUCUCUAGGACUUUCCUAAAAAAAUUUGAUUUUUUCCCAUAGGAAUGCAUGGGUUAGGGUUAGGGUUGGAGCUAGGGUUAGGGUUAGGGUUAGGGUUGGAGUUAGGGUUAGUGUUGGAGCUAGGGUUAGGGUUGGGCUUGCAGCUAGGAUUUUUCUGAGUGCAAUGAACCAACUCCCGAGUCUCUAGGACGUUCCUAAAAAAAAUUGAUUUUUUUCCCAUAGGAAUGCAUGGGUUAGGGCUAGGGUUAGGGUUGGAGCUAGGGUUAGGGUUGGGGUUAGGGUUGGAGUUAGGGUUAGUGUUGGAGCUAGGGUUAGGGUUGGGCUUGGAGCUAGGAUUUUUCUGAGUGCAAUGAACCAACUCCUGAGUCUAGAGAACGUUCCUAAAAAAAUUUAUUUUUUUCCAUGGGAAUGCAUGGGUUAGGGUUAGGGUUAGGGUUGGAGCUAGGGUUAGGGUUGGAGUUAGGGUUAGUGUUGGAGCUAGGGUUAGGGUUGGGCUUGGAGCUAGGAUUUUUCUGAGUGAAAUGAACCAACUCCCGAGUCUCUAGGACGUUCCUAAAAAAAUUUGAUUUUUUCCCAUAGGAAUGCAUGGGUUAGGGUUAGGGUUAGGGUUGGAGCUAGGGUUAGGGUUAGGGUUAGGGUUGGAGUUAGGGUUAGUGUUGGAGCUAGGGUUAGGGUUGGGCUUGGAGCUAGGAUUUUUCUGAGUGCAAUGAACCAACUCCCGAGUCUCUAUGACGUUCCUAAAAAAAUUUGAUUUUUUUCCAUAGGAAUGCAUGGGUUAGGGUUAGGGUUAGGGUUGGAGCUAGGGUUAGGGUUGGGCUUGCAGCUAGGAUUUUUCUGAGUGCAAUGAACCAACUCCAGAGUCUCUAGGACGUUCCUAAAAAAAAUUGAUUUUUCCCCAUAGGAAUGCAUGGGUUAGGGUUAGGGUUAGGGUUGGAGCUAGGGUUAGGGUUAGGGUUAGGGUUGGAGUUAGGGUUAGUGUUGGAGCUAGGGUUAGGGUUGGGCUUGGAGCUAGGAUUUUUCUGAGUGCAAUGAACCAACUCCCGAGUCUCUAGGACCUUCCUAAAAAAAAUUGAUUUUUUCCCAUAGGAAUGCAUGGGUUAGGGUUAGGGUUAGGGUUGGAGCUAGGGUUAGGGUUAGGGUUAGGGUUGGAGUUAGGGUUAGUGUUGGAGCUAGGGUUAGGGUUGGGCUUGGAGCUAGGAUUUUUCUGAGUGAAAUGAACCAACUCCCGAGUCUCUAGGACGUUCCUAAAAAAAUUUGUUUUUUCCCCAUAGGAAUGCAUGGGUUAGGGUUAGGGUUAGGGUUGGAGCUAGGGUUAGGGUUAGGGUUAGGGUUAGGGUUGGAGUUAGGGUUAGGGUUAGUGUUGGAGCUAGGGUUAGGGUUGGGCUUGGAGCUAGGAUUUUUCUGAGUGCAAUGAACCAACUCCCGAGUCUCUAUGACGUUCCUAAAAAAAUUAGAUUUUUUUCCAUAGGAAUGCAUGGGUUAGGGUUAGGGUUAGGGUUGGAGCUAGGGUUAGGGUUAGGGUUAGGAUUAGGGUGGAGCUAGGGUUAGGGUUAGAGCUAGGCUUAGGGUUGGGGCUAGGGUUAGGGUUAGGGUUAGGGUUAAGGUUGGAGCUAAGGUUAGGGUUAGGGUUGGAGCUAGGGUUAGGGUUAGGGUUAGGGUUAGGGUUGGAGUUAGGGUUAGUGUUGGAGCUAGGGUUAGGGUUGGGCUUGGAGCUAGGAUUUUUCUGAGUGCAAUGAACCAACUCCCGAGUCUCUAGGACGUUCCUAAAAAAAAUUGUUUUUUUCCCAUGGGAAUGCAUGGGUUAGGGUUAGGGUUAGGGUUGGAGCUAGGGUUAGGGUUAGGGUUAGGGUUGGAGUUAGGGUUAGUGUUGGAGCUAGGGUUAGGGUUGGGCUUGGAGCUAGGAUUUUUCUGAGUGCAAUGAACCAACUCCCGAGUCUCUAGGACGUUCCUAAAAAAAUUUGAUUUUUUCCCAUAGGAAUGCAUGGGUUAGGGUUAGGGUUAGGGUUGGAGCUAGGUUUUGGGUUAGGGUUAGGGUUGGAGUUAGGGUUAGUGUUGGAGCUAGGGUUAGGGUUGGGCUUGCAGCUAGGAUUUUUCUGAGUGCAAUGAACCAACUCCCGAGUCUCUAGGACGUUCCUAAAAAAAAUUUAUUUUUUCCCAUAGGAAUGCAUGGGUUAGGGUUAGGGUUAGGGUUAGUGCCAACCCAAUUUUUCACCUUCCAGAAUUGUGUUAGGAGCACGUUUCAGGGCACGGGGAGUCUAUAGAACCUAAUUUUGGGGGAAGUUUUUUGAAAAGUCUACUUAGGGUUUGGGUUAGGGUUAGGGUUGGAGCUAGGGUUAGGGUUAGGGUUAAGGUUGGAGCUAGGGUUAGGGUUAGGGUUAGGGUUAGGGUUGGAGCUAGGGUUAGGGUUAGGGUUAGGGUUAGGGUUGGAGCUAGGGUUAGGGUUAGAGCUAGGGUUAGGGUUAGGGUUGGGGCUGGGGUUAGGGUUAGGGUUAGGGUUAAGUAGUUCACACUGGCAGUUUGUAAGAAGUCAAUGGGUGACAUUCAGAAAUACUAUGUACUGGAGCAUAUCUACCAAUAUAAAGGGAUGUUCUUAGACAAAGGAGGAUAUUCAGCCCGAUGAGAUGACAAUACAGAAAGUUUUGACAUUAGCACGGUGAAGCAGAGGUUCUUUGUUGACAUACUUGGGCAGUGUAUAUUGUGAAGAUCAGCGUUAUACUCUGUUAUUUUCUGGAAGAGAUUCAGAGCAUAAUCCUAAUGAUGUUCUGAAACUGGCAGCAAAAUACACACACAGGAAAGAUGAAUAAAGGGAGUACUGGCAGUGAUUUUUUUCCCCCCACUUAAAGUAACUAUCAAACAAAGUUUUUCCUCCCACAAGUAGUAGUUUCAUCAUGGUCUUUUAAGUUUGAUCAAUUCUAUAAAGUUCAUAAAGUUUACUAUUAAAAAUCAAGUUAAUGAGGCAUUUCGGUGUCUGAUGUGAACAUGCAUACCAUAAAAGCAACCCCGCUGAUAUGAAAGCUCUCAGAACUUCCUGAACACUGCUGUGAGACCCUCAAUGGCAGCACUUUUUCAUAUCUGUGUGUAUGUAUGUGUGCACACACACGUGUGUGUGUGUGUGUGUACCAUCAAGCUGCCACUUGCCUCCUUUUUAAUCCCAGGUCAUACAGGUCUGCUUCAACAAGGAGCCACAGAAUGUAAACAUAGCCUUAUUAACACAGCCAGACUCAGUAAUCUUCCUCAGUAACCUUUCACCAUGACUCAGGCUUCACCCUCAGACGUACAUUCUGCUUUGCUCAUUAUAACCCAAAGAUUAUCAUUCACAUAUUUAGAAUUUGAUUAGCUUGUUUCUAACUGAGAGCAAUAUUUUGGCACUUCCCACUGCACUGAGAUUAAAAUGUCAAGGAAAUAUUUAGAGUAUGCAUAUUUCUAAAACCUUUUAUAUGACUAAUGUGUAGGGAGGAGAUAGGUGAGGUUGUUAACAUGCUGUGUUGUGGAAAAUCACAGAGACCAUGAUAAGAGGUGAAAACAGGGUCUCCAGAUUCUGACUCUGAACUUGUAUGUAUAAAAUCCAGAUGUUCUUAAUGUUCUGAAGAAAACAAUAACUGUUCUCCCACAAAAACCUCCUGAAAUGUUCCAAAAAGUCUGGUUCAAAUUGUGGUAAAUGUCUAUAAGCUAAUGCCAACAGUCCAGCUCUUAUGGGUUAAAGCCGCUGUAAAGAUGUCCUUAAAUGGUUAGAAGUUAAAGUCUAAUUGAGCAACCCCAAUGUUUAUAGCCAUUUGUAAGCCGAGUUUCGAUAUAGUUUUUAUGCUUUUUAGUCUAUAUUUCAAGACUGUGAGCACGGCAGAUCACAAUCUGACUGACAUCUCUCUUGCUAUGCCCGAAAUAAUGGGGUAUGUGUUAGUUCGAAAUAGCUUUAUGACUUUGAAUGGCCUCCAAAGGAUCAAUGAAAAUGAUUUAUUUCCACUGGUCACCCAGUGGUGGAUAGUACAACGCUUUAAUAUACAUUUCAUAGUUAGCAGCUAGCAUACUCAUGUAACACUCCUGGAGAAAAUUAGUGUUUCUUCAAAUUCUGAAUUCAAUGCUUCUUAAAAUCUCUUGUGACGAGCUAUUUCUUUUAUAGCACUCAACUCCUGCCACCUAACAGAACCUAACAGAAAGCAGAUCAGCGAGACUUAAACUGAGACUGCAAAAGAAGGUCAUUCACUUCUGACGCUGGACACCAACAGCCAUCAGGAUUUAGGCACCACAAACGAUCAUCCUAUUCAUACCAAGCAUUGCAUUACAAGUAUGUAGUACAUUUUGAAUCCAUUCAAUGCAGUGUGUGUUAUGAAACAUCUUGACAAACACAAUAUAGGCCAGGAUUUUAAAAAUAUGGGGCAGAUGCUCAUAUGUUAACCUCCCCAAAAUGCAUCCCAGCUCUUCAAACUAUACAAAGCUGAGUUUACCAGCCAGCAAUUUCAGCAAAAAAUAUCCAAAGAGCCACACAGCUGAAGGCAACAAAUGAUUCUAUACUCCUGGUGAAAUCAACACAAUAUCUGACAGUUAUGCUGACUCAGCUAUCAUAGCUCUGCAUAGAAAAUAUGUGACUUUUCCUGUCAUUUGAUUGAAGAUUUAGUUGUGUCAUGUUCAUAACAACUCACUAUUUGAACCCACAAUAUUAGGAAAAUUCAUAAAAACUUUAAUUACUUUUGUUCCAGAUAAAUGCAGACCUCAGAGUUGAAAGAUGAAACUAAUGUGAAAGUGCUAAAAUAAAAAAUAAUAAUUAAAAAUUAAAAAAUGCAGUUCCUCAAGUGUUCACUCGAGGCCAAAGAAACUUCACUAGCUCUAAUGAUAAAAUUUUAACUGAACAAUUAGAUUUUCACAGCCUGGUUCAAAAGACAGUUUUAGAUUGGUAUCUCAUUUUCUUAUUCGUACACUAAAUAAAAACAUUAAACACAUUAAAAACAAUGCUGCAGAAUAAAAUGUGGACUCAUCUAGUUACCUCCUGAAGAUAUCAAAUUCAGUACCUAUCGUUUAAUGUAAAGGACUACAAACUCAGAAAAGAAGCAUCCUGCAACCUUUUAGGGAUUCACUGUCUCCAUUAGAGACCCUUUAAGAGGUAAAUCUCAGGUUCAAUUUGUGCAUCAACCCCAACUGGGUUGAAGAAUUAUCUUUACAACCAACAAGCUUUCCUGGAUCUAAGUUGCCUAAACAACCUCAUACCAAAUACCUUAUCUUAGCUGAUGGUGCGGCAGCUGAGAACAUUAAACAGGCAUCGGUGUAAGCCUCAUAUCACAUGCCUGCUCUCUCCCGCCUCAGGAAAGCCAGUUUGUCUCAUUUCCACUGGGAGCUGCUGUUCCUCCUCCUGCUGAUCUGUUUACAGACCACGACCAAACACCCGGUGACUGGCCCACAGUUCAUCUCUGUCUGUUUACGCUGUGAGCAAAAGUAUGCACGUCAGAACUAAACCACAGAAGUCAAGGGAACAUGAAGCCAGGACCUUCAGGGAACUGCAGGUGCAGGAGGCGGGGCAAAAGAGUCUGAUGAAUUAUGGAGAAAUGAGCAAAUUCAGGAGCCUGAUGAUGACAAGAGGAUGACAGCAGCCUCCCUGUUCUGAUAGAGCCAUGAACUACAUAAACACUGGUGGUAAAACAGUAAAGCCAGAGUGUUUUCAGUCUACCCAGAAAAGCUAACCAUCUAGAGUUUGUCAUUUGAAGUGGGAAUCUCCCAAACAUGACGUUUUUAUCAAAUCUUGUUUGUAUUUUUCCAUGAGAAAGUUGGGAGCUCUUGAACUGGCUCCAUAUGCUCACAGCUCUGUACCUUACGCAGUUCCUCCUGCGUCAUGUGAUCACACUCCGGGACAGCCACCCUUCCCAUGGUGCUCAUGUUCCUCCCACUGUCCCCUGGGAGGUGAAGGACCAGGUUUGACGGAGGGAGACAGAAACAGAGCUGGUGCGACAGUGUGAGGGCGAGACAGAAACGGAGGGACAUCUGCUUCUCAUCUCGGUGGGAAAAUUCCCCCGAUCCCGGAGAUUAGGAUGGAGUCCCCCAGACAGAGUAUACUGGCUCCUCAGAGGCUCACCAUUUGUAGGCAAGCUCCCUCAGGCCUUGUUGGCUUUGAUCCAGAAUAACCCAUUUGCAUGAAUAAACCAGUGACACAACCCAACAAGCAAGAAGUAAAACAAAAUUGUAUAAAUCAGAGCAGCAGCUGGUCUCACUUUGUUGGAAAAGUAAUUUUACCCACAAAAUAAAGCUGGGCUGUCUUAUGAUGCCCUAGCCUCACCGUCCUGCCAUCAUUCCCCUUGUUAGCACGACGUCCGGGGGUGCUGUUCUGUUUAUUUUCUCCUGAUUAGUGCUGCACAUUUUCAGUCCUUCGCGGCCCUGGGUGUUGGGAGCCUGUCAGUGGUCUGUGUUCAUUCAACACCAGCUCAUUCCACAAUGGUUCAAAGCUUAUCACAACACUUUCUAACUCCCCUGUUGCCUGAUCUGCUCGCGAACACCCACGCGAGGCACAUGUUACCCCUUUGUUGACGUCUCUACUGGAGUUGUCAAACAGCAACUUUCAUUUAUUUCAAUUCAAAAGCCAAUCAUUGUGAAGAUGAAAAGCAUUCAUCGGGCAUUGGUAAGACAGUUUUGUAAACUCCAGAGGAAAUCAUGCCUAUAAUCAGGCUAGACAUGUCUUGGAUGUCACACAGUCUCACAGACAGGAUGGAUGUCCUGUUUUCCAUCAAAGAUGUAUACUGGAAAGAAUUCACAGUCGGAGUUUUGACUCCUCUGCCAAUCCAUUUACCCAAGCACGCUGCAAUAAUGAAAUCUCUGCAGAUGCAUAAGAAGAGAAACUGAAGGUUUUGUCUUGUUAAAUUAGACUUUGAGAUCAACAUAAUGGAUUUGUUUUUAUUAGGAUUUUGAAUUCAUCCUAAAAAUCACUGAAAUUCAAUCACUGAAACAAUAAGAACCAAAUAUUUGGGGGAUAUAGGUCGAUUAGUCAGGGGUUUAUUUCUUGCAGUGACAUCAGAAACUGCUGCGCAAAAUAAUAAUCUGCUCCACAGUUUCUCAUUUCUCACAGACUCAGCUGCAUCAUCCUGGAAAUUGUGUAUUUGUUUGAUUAUUUUCUCUUUGAGGGUAACGGAAAAUGUUGCCUCAGCCAACGUCGCUCAAUAUGUUUCCUUUCCAAAUAGAAAGUCAGACUGAUAUCUGACCCUGAGCCUGAGCUGAACUCAUGUGCAAAGUUAAAAUAUCACUGCUCAAACCUCCCUUUACUUCUUGGGUUUGCCUUAACUAAAUAAAACGGUGUUCAUCACUGUUUAGCUGUUUUAUCCACCCUGGUGGUCCUCAUUUAUCCGUCCCCUCUGGGCACAGCUCCAUCUGGGACUGUUUGUCUUCACCACCUCUCUGGCAGCAACACUUCAAACCCAACACUUAAUGGCAGGAGUCAGACAACAAACAUACAUAUUGUGUUGAGUAAUGAACUUCACUGUCCUAACAAGUACACAGCAACCAUCAAGCAAUGAGCAGCCUCUUUGAACUGAUCUUAGCUAACUGAUGGUAAUAAAUGGUGCUGUUGCCAAAUUCCCAUCAUUCGGAUGUAUUAUUUAUUAUUUCAAGUUAUUAACUUUCCCUUGCUCUUUGACCUCCGCCCACCCGCUCCCUGCCCUGCUCCCAUUUUUCUUGUUCCUUGUUCUUCAUGCUAUAGUUAUUUGAGUAAAUGUAUUUCCCUGCACAUAAAUAAAUCUGCAUGCUCAAUUUUGUUUGGCUGCAGUUUGUAUAAACACUUAUGCAGGGAUGAACUUCACCCAACACUUGCUCAGGCCACAGCCUACUUCUGUACUCCUCCUCACCUCAGCGGGUUUGUCCCGUGACAGCCAAUGCAUCAUUUCACAAUCAUAUCUUGAAAUCGCUGCCUGAAAAAAAAGGUCUCGGAGGGUUAAAAUUAUCUGGAAGAAUGAGCUGUAACAGCUUUUUCAAAUAGCUGGGUUGUUGAUGCUUUGUGAUUUUGCCUUGUGCAAUUGAUUAUCCUUUUCAUUAGGAUCCAAACAUGUGCUCUGUUGUUAUUUUGACAUUCAUUCUUAACGGUCCUGUGUUGAUAGUCAUCACACAUUUCUGAGUUAACUGGAGAGGAAAGAUGUGUUCUGUAACCUUUGUCAGAACAAGUCUGGAGGUUUUCUGUUUACUGUUUCAUUAAACUGACUUAGGCUAACCAGAUGCUGCCCCAGAUUAACUUUUCAACUUAAAAGCAGUAUUAAUUUUCUUUCAUGAAACUCUUUAAGGAACAAAUUUAAGUAAUUCUCAUUUUUGGUGAGAUUUUGGUGCUUUAUUUGAAUGUGUUUCUGUCGUAAUCAUUAGAGACAGCGCUGCACUCAAGCAUUAAAACAUUCAGUCAUGUCAGCUCAUGUAAAGCAACAAAACCGUUUAUUUGAGUUCAGCUGUAAUUAUAACUGAACUGCUUUCUCCACCAACGGCUGAAGUAGAGUUGUUAGUGUAACCAAAUUUCCUUCAAAAGGGGCUGAUGUGUGUUUUCUGAGGAAACCUUUUAAAAGUCUUGCACAUAGCUCCUGAGGGAGGAUAAACUAAUUUGAGGUUUUAAAAAAACACUCUGUACACUGAAAAAAUAAACAGCAGCACUCAAGGGCGAUUGCAGUCCAGCAAAUCUUGCCGCCUGAUCGAGUUUGUGUUUACUUAAGGGUCCUUUACUUAAAAGAAUAAAUCUAAUCUUGCCGCAAAUCGAUCUCAGAGCAACAUUUACUAUCAAAAGGUAUACUCAAUUAGCCUCUGCAUCCUUUAUCUCUUUUACUAACUUGUCAGAAGGUUAAAAAAAAGUCCUUUAAGUGCACACAGAUGUGUGUUUACAGAGUGAUCCAGGGCUUGCUGCAGUACACCUGCUGGAGCGAGAAAAAACUGUACUCCAUAUUUACAUUCAGCAUUAUUUUGUUGCUAUAACUUAAAGAAAAUGUUUGAGCAUGACAGAAAUGUAAAAAAACAUCUCAUUUAUCUGCUUAAUGGUUCAGACUGAACCACCACCAACAGCGUCAACUUGUGAACUUGUGAAUGCGCUCCACAUGUGGGACCUCUUAAUGGAGUUUAGAGUAUCACCACAGGCCUGAGUUAUAACCUGCUCUCUGACUGCGGGACCACUCCUGCACAGUUUGCACUGCUCGCUCUUCAUUUAUAAAGCUAACGGCUUUUACAACCAGCAAUGACACAAGGCGUGAUAACUCACUCUUAGUGCUGUUUUUCCUUCUCUGUAUUACCAACCGCAGGCCUGUGAGGUGAUGAAAUUUUAUCUUGGACAAACACUGGGUUUCCUCUCAGAGAGAUGCAGCUGCUGUGCUCGAGGUCCCCUCCACAGAUCCUUAAUGAUCUCUCGUCUAUAUCCAUCUGUCUGUAGAUGUGAGCCACAAAAAUUUGUUAGCUGGUAUGUUAUUGUAAGCAGUAAAAAAUACAGUUUGAAGCUUUAUGACUGACCAUUGGCUACAUACACAUUCAUUUCCUUUCAAGAUGAAUAAGUGAAGUGAGAAACUGAUAUCCGUCUGACAUCUGCAUGCCCGGUAAGGGGCUUAUAUCAGCAGGUGAUUAGCGCAGCUUAACUUAAAUACUAGAAGCAUACCAACACCUCUAAAGCUUGAUAAUGAACUCUUGUUGCUAAAUCCACAAAUAAAAAAAAUAAAAAGUAAACAGACAGCUUGUGGACAACUAGGCAAACAACCUCUUAGCACUAUUCUCAUGUCAAAGUUGUCCUGGAGUACACAAGUCCAAAAACAAUCUCAGCAAGAAUUUCUCCCUCUUUUGUCCAGCAGUGAAAGGUUUGCUAAAAUUGCACUCAAAAAAACAAACAGAAUAAACUACAAUCCCCAUUUAGCAUGCUGUUACCACAGCAUACUGACACUGUGCUGUCCAAGACGCAGCUGCAUAAAGCUAAAGAGUAUCUGGAGGUUUCUGCAAUGACUGAUUCAUGAUAUUUUGAGACAAAAAUAACUCCUAAUUGUCUGUUAACAUGCUAACUUGCUUCCUACAGAUUGAAACAAUGCUCAUACAUGAGCCCACUGGGCAUGAAAACAGGAUGACACCUGACAGCCUUGAAACAAAAAGAAAUGUCUGGGACAAAAAUAACCCACGUCAAUGUAGUAUGGAAGUGUAAACAGGAUUUGACAUGUUUUAAAUGAAAGAACAUGUUGUGAUACUGCUAAUCACCUUAGGCAACAGUAAGCAGCUUGUUACUCAUGGCUGGAGCACUUCCUAUUUACUGCUUUUUUCAAAUAUAGUUUUCUUUACAAUGACACAGUCAGUGCAGAGGAAAAGAUUCAUGGCUUGUCCUGUCUUAAUUAAUGGCAGGAAGAAAGGGGUCUAUGUGUUAAAUAUUGUCGUAUCCUGUUUGGGUCUGCUGCCCAGGUGGUCCAUCAUGAGUCAAAUCUUAUUACAUCACCUCCAUCCUGUCCAGGUUACCCUCUCUUCUUUAUUUUUAUACCUUUUUGUGUUUCAUUUUAUAAGAUAUGUUUUCGUCUAUACUCCGAGUUUCAAGUUACGUCAUAAGGGAUAUGUAUAUAGCGCUCAGGUCUUAAAGAAUUAGAGUAAAGAACUUCACAAUUCCAUAGUAAGUUUGGCCUCCCUGUCAAGCUCCAACUACCGUUAAUGAGAUCUCUCACAGCGAGGGGCUCUCUGGCUCUCCACCUUCCCCUUCAAGGCCUCACUGUGGAGGAAACCGAAGCUGCCCCAACAAUGAUGAAUGGACAUCAUUAAUGUUGUUCAUCUGUUUACCUUUUCCUCAGCAAUCUAGGAAAAUGAGGGGUCAGUGGCAAAAAGGGGGAAAUGUGCAUACUUUUGCACUCCAGUUCCUGAGAGGAACCGCUUGGUCUUCACAACAUCAAGAGACACGACGGACUGUGUGAGGCUCAUUUAUUUGGCCAGCUGACCUGAACUCAAUCACACGGCCUGAUAGAGAAACCCAAUUAGAGAAGAGGUUUGGUGACAUUUUGAUCUCUAUAUGAUCUUUUUGGAUCUGCUCUCAAAUAUUCUCACCAAGUUUCAUUGCCAACACUUCACAAAAGAAACCCAUUUUGCUGCACAGUAGACCGGAAACUGAACCCUAACCCCAGCCUCACUGCUCUCUACAAGCACAAUUCGUUCAGUUUAAUAGAUGGAGCCUCAUAUCAAUAAACCUUUGGAGAGAUUAUGAGCAUUUUCCUUUCAGAUUUUAGUAAAGUCAUUGAAGGGCUUUAAGGUUUUUUCACAAUCUAGCAACAAGAAUCCAUCUUCCCCUGAAUAUCACCAUCACUCAAGCUGGGCCUGCUUGUCUUGUCAGUGAGCAUUUAUAGUGAAAACAUUUUGUGUGAUCUCAUUUGACUCUUCCAGCUGGUGAACAUUAAAAAACACAAAUAAAUCACUGAGCAAAUGGCGAGAUAGUGGUGAGAGUCCGCCUCUGUAUUCUGCACACAGCAAACAAACUCCAGGAGCUGAGAAAACAGGUGAAACACGCUGCAAAAAGAAAACUGGAAAACAAAUUCAUGAUGAUGAACAGAUUUGUAGAUUUUUUGUUUUGUGGGUUUGUGAACUUUUUCUGUUCACUGCAAAUGAAUUUGCAGCACUCUUGUUGCAUUUGGUUUGAUUUUUUUGCAGCACACUAACACUUAAUCAUUUGAAUGAUCCUGGUUUUCAAACGAACACUGCACCUGUGGCAAAUUUAAAAGCGAGGGUUUUGGCUUGGUUCUCUCUCUUUUCUGUAGAGUGGCAUGUUAUUUGUGGUGGUGGUGGCUUACCAGAGUUGUUUAUUUAUGAGCUUGAGGCUUCUUGCACACUUGCUCAGUUUUUUUGUUGGAGUGCAACAGGUGAACAACAUGUACCGGGUAUCUUAAAAUAACUGUCCCUCUCAAUGUAUUUGCCUACCAUCGUCUCUCCAGGAAGAAGCAAACAAUGAUCCUGACUCUGAUGCAGUGGCUACUUAAGAAUAAACACAACAUGAACAUUCAAUGAUUCACUGAUGAGCCAGGUGUGCAAAGCUCAGUAUACCCGAGUAAAACUUGAGUUUAUUAACAAUAAUAAUAACAGAAUUUGGCCUGCUGAAAGGCUUCUAGCAUCAUAGAAAGUCUUGUAACAUGUCCAAUAUUUUAAAAACCCUCCAGAUAACACAAACACAACUGAAAAGUGAAGUUUGAUGACAAAAUGGCUGUAUUUUCCCUCCUACACUGUAGUUUUACAUUCAGCUGGGGUUGAUGUGUUCCCAUAAAGGGCUGAGAACAGACUCUGCCCAGUCUUUGGUCAGUAAACUUGCAGAAUAGCAGCAGUAAGGUGAAUAGACGAGGAAUGAAGAGAAGAUUGAUAGUGUUGUAAAAUAAAACUUUCACCACCCAGACAAUGAUAGCACAGCUUGAGAGACAGGGCUAAAGCAGAAGUAAUUGCAGUGUCUUGUUCCUCGAAGAACACACAGUUUGCUUUGCUUCCACUCCAUCGUCUCCCUGAAUUUCCAAGAGCAUCCAUCAUUGCAAUGCAGAGAUACAAUUUAGGCAAAGAGUACUGUGAUGCUGCCCAGAAUAAUUAGAGGAAAUGUCUCUCAAAACUCCUGAUUGUUUGCACUUUCUGAUGCUCUAUCCAGCAUGAUGGUGAAGGGGGGGUGCCUCACUCUGCUUGAAGUGUCUGAGAUGUUUAGAAACUGCACACUCCUGAGUGUGGUCUGUACAAUAGAAGGCGGCAUAGGAGCUAUUCAACAGUGUUAAAGGAAUGUGUGGCAGCCCACAAGAGAUCCUUUCGUUCCAGGCUUUCUCCAAACACACAAGUUCCACACUGAGGAUUAUCUCUAUGUGUCAACAGUAAUGGAAUCUCCCUUUUCUGUCUCUGCAAACUAAACUGAAACCGUGCAGGAAAAUCUCUGUGCAUCCCAGGGGCAA